rnacentral:tRNA from 1 species
UAUAGAGUAAACUAAAAUAAGUUAUAAGGUUCAUACCCUCAUUAUGGCUUGAUAAGCCCUCUAUAA